ensembl:lncRNA
GUUUAUUUUGACCUCUUUCGCUCUCUGCCUUAAACGCAGGGUGAGAGGCGAGGGAGGCAGAGGAGAGGCCUCGGUUAAUGAAAGGUUCUGGUUAACAGAGGAUGCAGCCGCUCAUUACGUAGCGCUUGUGGUUUAAAGUGAAGGGUGCCGCGUGUUCAAGGGGUCAGCCAGGGGCCUUGUGACUCCCACAUCCAUCGUCUUUAUCAGGCGGUACUAAGAAAGCCGCUGUCUACAGGGCCAGAAUGAUACCAUCGACACAGGAGGCCAGCACGGUUCACUUUCCAAGGUAUGAUAUGGACCAUGAAGAUUCUCGUUUUAUAUAGAUGCACAUGGAUGGGCAUACAAGUAUGAACAUGUGGAUACUGAGAGACAGUGUUAGAAGAAUAUAUAAGAAAUACCACGUGGUCUGGGGAGAUCCCACACGCCACGGAGCAACUAAGCCCAUGCACCACAACUACUGAACCUGCGCUCGAGCCCUCUGGCCGCGACUACUGAAGCCCGCGUGACCACAGAAGCCUGUGCUCCACAAGAGAAGCCACCGCCACGAGAAGCCUGCACACCGCACCCGAAAAUAGCCCCACAACUCGAGAAAGCCCGCAUGCAGCAACAAAGCCCCAGUGCAGCCAAUAAAUAAACAAACGAAGAAAUGUUCAGAGGGGCUGACUCUAAGUGGAGGGAAACUAGACCACAGGGGAUUUUAUUCCUUUUUUUUUUUUGCUUAGCUAUAGUAUCUAAAUUUUAUAUCCUACUAAUAACAACCAUUUAUUGAACGUGUAGCCGGUUUCCAGGAGAAACACUUCACAGGCAAAGACUCAUUUUGUAGUAUUUUACUCCCAUUUUAUAGAAACUGAGGCUCAGAGACACCAAAGACCACGAAGACCACCACCUGGGUUCCUUUGCUGCAUUGACUUCUGAUCAAAUGAAUGUGCUUGUCACAAGGAAAAAAGAAGUGUUUUAAAAAUGCUAGAUAUGUGGGAAUUCCUGGUGGUCCAGAGGUUAAGUCUGCACUUCCAUUGCAGGGGGCACGGGUUCUAUCCCCAGUCGGGGAACUAAGGUCCCGCAUGCGCUGUGGUG